rnacentral:lncRNA from 10 species
CUGAAAAUUCAACAGUGCUUACAACAAUAAUACAGUUAUUUAAUACAGGGUUCUUAGAUCAAAUAUGAAAUUGUGAAAGUUUGCUAUGUAUAGUUUAAUGACAAGUAUAUAAUAACAAAUAUCUAAAUCUUUCAUCAACAGAUGUCUGAAUCUGUGGCCUGUUAUAAAGUAAGGUUUAGACGAAAACUUUCAGUUUUUAAUACAACAGCACUAAAUACUUGGUAUAGAACACAUAGUAAACUCAAGAAAAAGGAAAAAUACAUAAAGAAAUUACUAGAACUCAAGCAGACCAAUAGAAGAAGAAUAUUUAUUAAAAGUAAAUUCUAGUUAAUUGAAAAAAAAAAUUAGCCAGAUAAACUUGUAGCAAGAUGAUGAGGAGCAAUAAAAAAAUAGAAGUCCUACCAACAACAUAAAGAAUGAAAUGCUGAGAAAAUAGAGAUAAAAACAGCGUAGAGAAUAUGAGCAACUGCAUGUAAACAAAUGUGAAAACCAGGAUGAAAUGGAUAAAGUUAUUUUUUAAAAAAAACUGUAAAGUGCAAACAUUCCUGAAGAAAAAAAAUAAUUUAUUGAUAUACCCAUAACCGUAAAUAAAUGGAAUUGCUGAUUCUGCUCACUACCUCUCACUCCACCAAAAUAAAUACCUAAACGAGUGACUGCAGGCUGAUUGAAUGGACGAAUACACAAAUGAAUGAGUCCCUGGACAAAAAUAUAUUACAUCUAAAGUUUAUGACAUGUUGUACUUCUAAGGAUGUGAUAAUCCCCUUUGCCUACAAGGUGUUCCAGAAAAUUUUGUAAAAAGAGGAAAAACUGUAACACUAAUUUCAAGAAGGUGGUGUAGCCUUGGCAUCAAAAUGAGAUGCACCGAACUCUGGUGUUGUGUCCAGCAUUAUCCUCCUGGGCAUAUGUCAAGGUCCAUUGACCUGAUCUCCAAUGGCCUGCAACUGCAGACAUUUUCUAAGGGCUUCUUCUAGCUGCUGGAGCCCACUUUACUCAGCCUCACAGCAGGGAGAAGUGCCAACAACCUUCAAACAAUGACUGCUGGGGUUUUGUCUCCCUCACCCAUCACAUAGUGCAGGCCUCCAGAGUUCCCAGCAGGGUGACCGACUAGUUUUGCAUAGUACUGAUGUGCUUGAUAACAAACAGUUACAUGGCUGUCUUCCUGUCCUGGUCUCAGUUCCCAAUAGUCUCUGCUAGUAUAUUCUGGAAGAACCUCCGAAAAAACUAUACUUAAUUCUUAUCCCAGGGUUUUUGUCAUUGUUUUUCUUGGGAAAGGCAAUUGGUACCCAAAGUGUUCCCAGGAGGGAGAUUGCCUGGCUGGAUUCUGGAUGUGGACCACUCCCUGCCUGUAUAGAGCAGGCAUUCCAUUGAUGGGAUUAUUGGAACAGCAGUGCCCCGGCAUGUUAUCCCAUCACAAUUGCUAAGGCUUUUGCCUGUGGAAAACUGGGAUAGAAAAUAGAACAGUGUGCCCUGGUUUAUGUCUUAUCUCUAGUGUUUCUAUAUUAAAGUCAGACUCUGAUAGGGAAGAAGUAGGACGUUAAGACCUGGGGUGGAGACUCCAGGGUGGCUGUGCUUGAGAAUGUUGAACGCUCAGAUUCCCCUAAGUCCUUUGCAUCAGCACAAGUGUCUCAUCUACACCUGCUAGAGAAUAGCAGCCUCCCCUCAUCUCAAACCCAGUAAUUCCCCAUCCUAAGGCAAAAGCCAUACAGGAUAAUCUAUACUUGCUGUCCUCAAGAUCUGACCUCACCUCCCUUGAUUGAUUCUAAACCAAUUAUGAGGUUCAAGUCUCAGCAUGUCCUCACUGGGGAAAUUCUGUUUCUGUCUGGGGAAAAAAUAAAGAUUAUUAGCAGAACCUGAGAAUGGAUCUUGUGGGUGCUAUAUGCAUUCAAAACCAGCAUCUCUAGCAGAUUCACUGAGAGCCAUUAUUUUCUUGAAGUUUCAAGGAAACCUCCCAGUAGUUUAAUAGUAGUUUAUUAUUAGUGCUUACGUACUUCAGGUGUCCUUGCUUAAUUCAAUCCUGAGUCACAAGCAAGUUCCCCAACAUCAAAAAUAUCUUACUGAUGCCUAUAUUUUGUCCCCACCACCCCUGUAUCCCAGCCUGGUAACUGCCUUUAUAUCUAGGUUUUGCUAUUAAUAGUAAUUCUGUUACUAUCAAGUUGAGUUCAGAAAUAGGAAAAUAGAACUAGUCAUACUUUCUCACGCCGAACACAUAGUUUAUUAUAUUCACACACAGUUUUCUCCUUUUGCCCCACAAAACAAUGUUACGUUCAAAGUUCAAUGAGGCAUUCCUCAUAAAAUUUAGAUAGCUGGCAUGACAAUUCCUCAUGAAACCUUAUAUACAAUCUGAAAAAUUGUCUCAACUUUAAAAAUGGGAAAAUAUUUGUAACAUUACAUCUAUAGAAGUUUAUAGCACAUGUUAGAGAAGAUUCUCAAGAAUUCCGGGUGAUGGUCAAAUUAAUGCCCAAUACAUUAUUUGUGGGAAUCUGUGGUCAUAACACUCACCUUAGUGAGUAGGUAUUUAUCUUUUGUUGUUAUUUUGGUUUCUCCUGAAUUAUUUUUCAAAGUGACAAAGUCAUCCAGGGAAGAACAAAGCUCAUAUAUAAAAUAUUUUUUUUAGUUUUAUCUUUUCUUUUCAAUAAUAUUCUGUAUUGAAUAAACAAAGUAAAUUUGCAAGGAAGUGAGAGAAUGUUGGUGAUAUGGUUUGGCUCUGUGUCCCCACUCAAAUCUCAGCUCAAAUUGUCAACCCCAUGCACAUGUCGAGGGAAGAUCCUGGUGGGAGGUGAUUGGCUCAUGGAAUCCAUUUCCCCGAUUAUGUUCCCGAUGCUGUUCUCAUGAUAGGGAGGGAGUUCUCACAAGAUCUGAUGGUUUAAGCGUGGCAGUUUCCCCUGAGCUCUCCUUCCUGCUGGUAUGUAAGGCGUGCUUUGCUUCCUCUUCACCUUCCGCCAUGAUUGUACAUUUCCUGAGGCCUCCCCAGCCAUGCAGAACUGCAUACAACUUAGGAUUCAUAACUACAUAUAUACGGAUAGAAGUGCAUGAACAGAAAAUCUGCCCUUCUGGAAUACCAAAUGCAAAAUUAAAGUGACUACAAGCAGAAUUUGGAGAAAAAAAUAAAAGAUGCAAUAUAGUUUUUAAAAUCAUUGUUAAAAUAUAAUGAGUCUGUACUUUGCUUAAACAAUAAAAAAGUCUUCGAUUUAUA